rnacentral:rRNA from 1 species
ACGGGAGGCAGCAGUGGGGAAUAUUCCGCAAUGGACGAAAGUCUGGCGGAGCGACGCCGCGUGGAUGAUGAAGGUCGGAAGAUUGUAAAAUCCUUUUAUGACUGAGGAAUAAGUGAAGUGAGAGAAACGCUUCAUGGUGACUGUAGGUCAUGAAUAAGCAACGGCUAAUUACGUGCCAGCAGCCGCGGUAACACGUAAGUUGCGAGCGUUGUUCGGAAUUAUUGGGCGUAAAGGGCAUGUAGGCGGUUUUGCAAGCUUGGUGUGAAAUCCCGGAGCUCAACUCCGGAAUUGCGUUGAGAACUGCAUAACUAGAGUCACUGAGGGGCAAUCAGAAUUCCAGGUGUAGGGGUGAAAUCUGUAGAUAUCUGGAAGAAUACCAAUGGCGAAGGCAGGUUACCAGCAGAUGACUGACGCUGAGGUGCGAAGGUGCGGGGAGCAAACAGGAUUAGAUACCCUGGUA